AAUGGCGUGCGAACCGCAUGCGGAUGCGCCCGGGCUGCGGCCUCGGGGAUGGUCGCGUGCGGCUCCUCGCUCUAUACCCUUGCCUAUUUGUAUCCUCUUGUUGUUUCCUCGGCGGGUCCUGACUCGUCGGCGGGAAUUUUCUAAACCUCUUGCAGUAGUAUCCAAUCAUCCUGAUCAAAAGUCUUAAAUCGUUA
rnacentral:misc_RNA from 1 species